rnacentral:rRNA from 1 species
UGGGGAAUUUUGGACAAUGGGGGAAACCCUGAUCCAGCCAUCCCGCGUGUGCGAUGAAGGCCUUCGGGUUGUAAAGCACUUUUGGCAGGAAAGAAACGUCAUGGGUUAAUACCCCGUGAAACUGACGGUACCUGCAGAAUAAGCACCGGCUAACUACGUGCCAGCAGCCGCGGUAAUACGUAGGUUGCAAGCGUUAAUCGGAAUUACUGGGCGUAAAGCGUGCGCAGGCGGUUCGGAAAGAAAGAUGUGAAAUCCAGAGCUCAACUUUGGAACUGCAUUUUUAACUACCGGGCUAGAGUGUGUCAGAGGGAGGUGGAAUUCCGCGUGUAGCAGUGAAAUGCGUAGAUAUGCGGAGGAACACCGAUGGCGAAGGCAGCCUCCUGGGAUAACACUGACGCUCAUGCACGAAAGCGUGGGGAGCAAACAGG